GAUGAACGCUAGCUACAGGCUUAACACAUGCAAGUCAAGGGGUAGCAGGGUAGCAAUACCGCUGACGACCGGCGCACGGGUGAGUAACACGUAUCCAACCUUCCCAUAACUCGGGGAUAGCCUUUCGAAAGAAAGAUUAAUACCCGAUAGUACUUAACAAAGGCAUCUUUGAUAAGUUAAAGAUUUAUUGGUUAUGGAUGGGGAUGCGUUCCAUUAGAUAGUUGGUGAGGUAACGGCUCACCAAGUCUUCGAUGGAUAGGGGUUCUGAGAGGAAGGUCCCCCACAUUGGUACUGAGACACGGACCAAACUCCUACGGGAGGCAGCAGUGAGGAAUAUUGGUCAAUGGGCGAGAGCCUGAACCAGCCAAGUAGCGUGAAGGAUGAAGGUCCUAUGGAUUGUAAACUUCUCUUAUAGUAGAAUAAAGUGAUCCACGUGUGGAUUUUUGUAUGUAUACUAUGAAUAAGGAUCGGCUAACUCCGUGCCAGCCGCCGCAGUAA
rnacentral:rRNA from 1 species